GCGGAGAUCCGCGAGCCGAACAAGCGGUCGCGGAUCUGGCUCGGCUCCUACUCCACCGCCGUCGCCGCCGCGCGGGCCUACGACACCGCCGUGUUCUACCUCCGCGGCCGCUCCGCGCGCCUCAACUUCCCCGACCAGCUCGACGGCGCGGGUGGUGGUGGCGCGGGCGCCGGCGGCGCCGAGGACCACAGGGAGCUCACCGCCGCCGUCAUCCGCAAGAAGGCCGCCGAGGUCGGCGCCCGCGUCGACGCGCAGCACUCCGUCGUCGGCGCCGCGGCGCCCGUGCCGCUCCAGCCGCCGCAGCCCCCGCCGCCCCAGCGCCGCCGGACCAAGAACCCCGACCUCAACCGGGAGCCCACCCCGGACACCUCCGACGACGAGUAGUAAUCCGUGCUAAUUUUGCCUCCCUUCUUCCAUCCAUCUAGUUCGUAGUCCUUAGCCACCCCAAGACACAGAGAGAGAGAGAGA
rnacentral:lncRNA from 1 species